UAAGAAAGGAAAAAAAAAAUAAAAAAACACAGCACUGCCAGCAGUCCGGAGCGAGCCACAUCUCCUGUUUCUCAAUGCAUGCACUGAACAGUGGCCGCACAGUCUUUCCCAACCCCUUCUCCAGCCGCAGCACAUGCAGCACGCCCGACUAUGGGUAGGACUAAGCCGCCACCAAUUAC
rnacentral:lncRNA from 1 species